rnacentral:rRNA from 1 species
AUUGAACGCUGGCGGCAGGCCUAACACAUGCAAGUCGAACGAGUGGCGGACGGGUGAGUAAUGUCUGGGAAACUGCCUGAUGGAGGGGGAUAACUACUGGAAACGGUAGCUAAUACCGCAUACCAUCAGAUGUGCCCAGAUGGGAUUAGCGAGUUGGUUGGGUAACGGUGCACCAAGGCGACGAUCCCUCGCUGGUCUGAGAGGAUGACCGUCCACACUGGAACGUAGGCACGGUCCAGACUCCUACGGGAGGCAGCAGUGGGGAAUAUUGCACGAUGGGCGCAAGCCUGAUGCAGCCAUGCCGCGUGUAUGAAGAAGGCCUUCGGGUUGUAAAGUACUUUCAGCUGGGAGGCGUUACCCGCAGAAGAAGUACCGGCUAACUCCGUGCCAGCAGCCGCGGUAAUAC